AUUAGCUAUUGAGUAAUGUGAAAGCUGCUGAUAAUACUGAUGUGACUUAUACAUGGAUGCCUAUAGGUAGAUGUGGAUCAGCUGAGAGUCUGCUGAUGCAAGCUUGACUGACGUGACCUGCCAGAACUAAUGCUACACUUGAUUUGUUGCUGGGUAACACAGUGUCAAGAAUCUAUCAAAACACCCCCGUACUCAUGCUGGAAGACUCCUUAGAGAGAACAAGUAGAGAGAGAGGAAGAGGAAGGAGUUGAGGCAGAGGAGCAGGCCCUCCCUCCUACCUGCUUCCCACACAGGUUUGAUGGACGUGUGGAUUUCACCGACUUCAUUCUGUUGUGCUACAAUCCUGACAGGCCAAGACAUGCAGGUGUCCCCUCUAGCCUCCAUUCAAUGCUUACAAUGAGAAAAAUAGGUUAAUUGCAUUUUGAGUCAUCUCUGGUUAGGCUGACUUAUGAAAGGUUGAGAUUUUGACGUUUAUGCUCCAGGAGGAGAUCUCUGUUUGUGUAAUUUAAUUAAGAUCCGACUGUUUUCAGCCUGCCUGAACCCACAAAGAGAGGGUUUUAUCUGUACUUAAUUAUACUGCAUAAGUUGUAAAAAAUGUCAUGUCCGCUUUUCAAAAUAGGUUAGUAUCAUGUUUUUUAAUUUUUUUUUAAUUUUUUUUUUAUAAUGAGAGAAUCAAAGCCUGAUUUGCAUUUGUUUGUGG
ensembl:lncRNA